CUGCAUUCUUAAACCCUCUUGGCAGCUUCGUUUUAAGUGCUUCCAAGAUAGGAGUGAAUGCUAGAGAAAUUGCGGGAGAGUCCAAAGGGCUGCGCUUGUCCUGUGGCUCAGUCAUAUUUCAUACCUGCGACAUUU
ensembl:snoRNA small nucleolar RNA, H/ACA box 14A